GUGCUCGCUUUGGCAGCACAUAUACUAAAAAUUGGAACGAUACAGAGAAGAUUAGCAUGGCGCCUGCACAAGGAUGACACGCAAAUUCGUGAAGCAUUCUAUAUAUAA